rnacentral:misc_RNA from 2 species
GUGGGAGGGGGCUUGCCCCCGAUGGCGAUGGGUCAACUAACAAUGCAGUGACUGAUGUCCGCAAUCGGGGGCAAGCCCCCUCCCAC